ACAGCUCGCUGCAGCGCACGGCUCUACUGCAUGCAGCCGUGCGUGCCAACUCGGCGCGUGCCGAUUGGGCGGCGGAUGAGGCGCGUGUGAGCCAGACGGCGCCAGGCUGCGCCUCCCUCCGCCGCACAACCCCUCACCGGCAUCUUCCUCCACUCUUAGCCUAGCCACCCUCACACCCGCCACCGUCUCCUGGCAUCCGCGUCCGGCAGGCCACUACCGUGCUCCCGCGGUCCCGCCCCGCCGCUGCAAUGGCUGCGGCGGCCUCGCCGGCAGCGUGCGCUCGGGCAUCCGGACCCCGCGCGGGGGCCCGCCUCGCCGUCCGCACCGCAGCCCUCCCGGCGGACGGGCGCGGCGACGGCACCGCCUCUUACAAGGAGCUCGGUCUGUACUUCUUGAAAAAGAGGAUUGAAGACGCAGUUGUCCGGGUUGAAACCACCGCAUCCAGUGCUCUGGAGUUGGAGGAAGCACGGAGAAUUAAGCAGGAAGAAGUACUGCGGAAGCGUAACUUGUGGGAUAAUCCAGCUAAGUCACAUGAGACGCUCUCUGCUCUGGCAGAUGCCAUCAGGGUGGUCGACCAUCUGAAAGAUCUUCGCUUCAAGGCUGAAGAGGCAAAGUUGAUAAGUCAACUAUCAGAGAUGGAUGCCAUAAAUGGUGAGCUAUUUAAGCAAGCAUACAAAUCUUCAGUAGAUGCUAGCGAGUAUCUAGAUCGCUACCAGAUGUACAAGCUUCUUAAUGGUCCAUACGACAAGGAAGGAGCUUGUAUUAUUGUUACUGCAGUAUCAGAUGGUGUUGCUUCUGAGCUAUGGGCAGCGAAGGUCUUUGGCAUGUAUACAAGUUGGGCACGGAAGCAAGGUUGCAAGGUUGGAUUGAUUGAGAAGAUUUCUUCAAUGAGUGGCCAUGUCCGGACUUUAGCGAUGGAGAUUGAAUCAGAGUACAUGUUUGGCAUCCUUUCUGGAGAAAAAGGAAUGCAUCGAAUGAUAUACUCGUCCCUUGAAAAUUCUGAUAAAUAUCAGCUUGCAGGCCUUAUCAGCUAGAGUAGACGUAAUUCCCCUCUUCUUGGAUAGGCCAAUUAAUCUUCACUUGGAUGACAAUGAUAUAGAGAUCGCUCCCUCACCUUCUUCUGAAUGUAAGAAGCGAGAUAGCAGAAACUGUGCUGCUGUCAGUGUUCAACACAAACCAAGUGGAGUCACUGCUGAAAGUUCAGGUGAGAGAAGCUAUUUUGCAAACAAGCUAAAAGCUACGAGUAGGUUGAAAGCAAAGCUCCUUUUAUUAGCAAGAGAAUUGGGAGUAUCAGACAUGAAGAUGAUGAACAAACAAGCUAUAAAGGAUAUAUGCAGCCGUGAAACACGAAGGUACACAUUUGGGCCUCAGAAAUUGGUCCAUGAUCUCAACACAGGCAACCAGUUAUCAGAUUUGAACUUGGUUCUGGAAGGUGAAAUAGAGCAAUUCAUUAGAGGUCGAAUUAUCGCUAGACAAUGAUGAUACAACUCACCAAUUGAUUGAUUGUCCCCCCUCAUUGCGAUCUUGUACAUUUAUUUCUGUCCUUAUACAAACCACACCACAUCAAAGGAUGACCUCUGUAAAAUAUCACAUUUCAAGCCAAAAGGCAUGACACCUGGUAUACAAAACAUUACGUUAUUUGCACCA